UUUGCUGAUAAAUCAUAUUUAACCUUCAAAUUGGAAGGCAAUAUUGAUUUAAUGCACAAAGUAGAUCAUAGUACACAGAGAUCCUAGUACACAGAGAUCGCAUGAUUCAAGAUAUUGCUAGACAGCAUGCCAUGAAUAAAAUGUACUUGCUUUUCACAUCAUCUAAAAGGCAACAUGCCAUUCUCAAUUUGUUGAUCUUAUGUAGAGCGAACAGGCCUCUUUAAAGUAUUAAAUAUCAAAUUACUACUUUUUUUUAUUUUUUUUUAAAGAGCAAGAUUUUUCUUAAGAAAAAAGUCAAUUUAUUAAAGGAGUUAGCCAAAAGUAGCCAAAAGCAAGAGAUAAGAAAAAAGAAAAACAGAGAAGAAAAUAGAAUAAGAUAAAAACAGCAAGCAUACAAAAAUAAAAAAUAAAAAGCCAAACAAAUACAAAUAAAAAAAGGGGCAUCAAGACUUAAAGAACUAAUGUAUUACGCUUAAAGCUUUCAUUUGGUGUUGUUAGACCAAUCUCUAAUAUUUUUAGGCUCCAUAAGUAAAUUGAUUUCGGUAGUUAUUAAGAACUUAUUUGCAGACUUGAAUCAAUUUAAGAAAUAAUAUAAAAUUAAGGGAAAGUUGCUUUCGAAGGUUACGAUUCCAUAAUUGAAAAUAACCUUGUUCCUUAUAAGCCAUAUACUCUAACUAACACAACAAGAAAACAUAAGGAAUUUCCCACUUAGGCUUAGUGCAUUGGGUUGAUCCGUAACAAAAAAUUGCAAUUGAAUAUUUACUUAUAUCAAGUAGUUUUUUAAGUCAUCCUUUCUAAUUAUACAACAUUAUUCAAUUAAUAAGAGAAAAUGAAGGAAAUUGGAUAAAAACUUGAAGAUAUUUUUUGACGGAAUCUAACAUAACACAUCUAUUUUGUUUGACUAAUAUCUUUCUCAUCUAUAUUUUACUUAUAAUUUUCAGCCUUCUUGAAGAAAAAACAGAGCAAAAUAGGUGCAUGAAUCGAGGUUAAGUUAUUCACCUUGUCGUGGCUUAAAGUUUUUCAAGAGAAAUAUAACCAAGCAUGGAUGAAACAGAGUGAAGUUGUAAUAUGCUGAAACUUUUGGUUUGGAAAAAGUGUUUUUUUUUUAAUAGUUAAGGUGUUUUAUUUCAAAGAUCUGUCUAUCAUUGAGACAAUGGUAUCCCGGUUACAAUAAAAUUAUGAAAAAUACUAGUAAAAGCAUUGAUUUACAAAGAUUAAAGAAGAAUGCAAAAAAUAUACACAAAAAAAAUUGAAAUGUAAAAAUAUUGGGUCAUCACUUAUUUUUCCACUUCAAAACGCCAUCCAAACUUCUAAAUAGAUCAUUCCUAGUACAUGAGAAAUUUGCAUCCAUAACCUUCAACCAAAGAGACAAACAAUGAAGAAUAAGCUCAAACAUUGUAUUCUAAACUUGCAUAAUAUCCUUAAAAAUAAGUUUGUUAAUUUCUCGCAUUCCAAAUGUUCCAUAAAAUCCCAUAAGACAACAGAACAAGUGCUUGUCGCUGGAAUUAAUCUACCUUUUACUAGAUCGCUCUAUUGCAAAAGAACUUGAUCAAGGAAGAGAGGAAAAAGGAAGAAGAAGCAAGAGCAGUAAAAGAGGAAGAAGGAAGAACACAUAAGAAGUGAAAGUUAGAGUUAAGGUUUCUAAGGUCAGAUAUUGAUGUUUUUUUUGUGCUUGAAUAUGUUGGUUAACUUUGAUUUUAGGGUUUCAAUUAUUUAAGAUGUUUAAUUAAUGUUUUAGGUGUUAUUUUGGCUUAAAUCAUUUUAUAUGAGGUCAGGAAUUUUAGGUUUUUGUGGAAUAUGCUAAUUAUUUUUAAGAUCUACAGUUUGGAAGACUAGCAGAUCGGGAUUCUGUACUCCUGAUAAACCAGUUAGUUGGUUGGACUGAACUGGUCGAGCAAUUAACUUGAUUGUUCCGGUUGACUGGUUGGUUAAUGUCGGUCGAUUAUUUUAUUUGAUAGUCUCGGCUAACCGGUUAACCAAGUAGUAGGGGUUGAUUAGUUCUUUCAGUUUGAGAGACAUUCAAGAUCAAUCGGGUGGAUCUAUUUUGGUUUUAUAAUUACGUUUUGGUCUCUAAUAUUAGAGUUGAAAUCUUUUAUGUUAUUUACUUUGAUUUUUAUUUUAUUUUUUUUAUUCAUUAUAUGUUCUGCUGAUGUUUCUCUUAACGAUCUUCUAUAAUCUCCAAUUCUAUGUAUGUUUGUCUUUUGCUUUUAUUUUCCAAGUAAGUGGAAUAAUUUUUAAUAUGCAUAUAAUAUAAACAUGAAUAUAUUGAUUAUAUGAUAAGUACAAAUAGUUAUUUCUUAAAUAUCUAUAUAUCUUGCUUUAUUUCUCAAGUACUCAUCAAUUCUUGAAUUUGCAUUCAUAUUCUGUUGAAUUAAAUUCUAUUUGAUAUGUUCAUUUGCUUUGAUAAUUAUGUGAUUAUCUAUUAUGGUUUGAUGUCGAGAUACUUGUCAGAAACUUUAUACUAACGAAGGGUAGUUAGUUUAUGUGCACAUAAUAGUCUAUUUAUCUAGCCGAUGAGAGAGGCACCAACUUAUAAGGACUGACCGCAAACCUCAUAUGUUAUCAUAACCAUAUGCUAAUAUGCUUUGUGUGUGUGUGUGUAUAAUAUUUAUUAUUUUUACUAUUAUAUCUAUGAUGUAUAUUAAAUAUUAUUUAUUCACUAAGCUGGUUGUGCUUACCCCUCUUUAUUAAUAUUAUUUUUAGGUUUUUAGCUUCUGUUAAUAGGUUAAUUUUGUUGAGAGUUUUAAUUGUUUCCUUUGUGGGUAUAACUUUCUUGCUCCUGCGAGACUUUUCUUCUUAUCCUUUUUUAUUCGAUGUCUUAGACACUCUACUAUUAUACUGUUUUAUUUAAAGUUUGGAUUUUUAUAUUGUAAUAAGUAUUAUGAAGUAUUAUUUGAUUUUAUGGGUUUGUGGAAUAUUUUGAAAGUUUAUGAAAUGCUGAAAAUAUUUAUAUAAUUUGGUUCACGAGAAGCAUAUUUGAGGUUUAACAUAGAUGGGGUGUCCUGAUAACACUAAUUCUACAUUGUUGAUCAUGUACCCAGAAUUCAAGUCGCGAAAGAAGUUGUGAACUUCACAAAAACAAAUUGACGUGGAAAGUGGUUUGUAUCAACUUUAAUUAAGGUGGAUGUUUUUACGUGAAUGAUGUUGAUUCUAGGGAUUUAGCCCUAAUACAUGAAAAUUGAUUUAAAAAAAUUACUAUAUACAUCCAAACUAACUAAAAAUAUAUAUAAAUAAGUCAUGAAAAAACUUAAUGAAUUGACAAACAUUAAUUCCACUCAGUAAGUACAAGGUGCAUAAAGAUAUCUUCAAAGAAAAACAAAAAGGUUUGGAGACAUCAAUCAAAAAAGAUGAAAAAGAGUUAUAGUAAACACAAAGAUAAUAAAUGUACCAGUUACCAUAUAUUAUUUCGUUAGAGGUUGGAGAAAUCUUUAUGGAUUUUUUUAAUAAAAUAAUGCACUUUUCUUUCUUGAAUUGGAGUGAGGUUAACCCAAUAGUCUAUCAAGGUGUGACUUGCUUAAUGAGCUUAGCUGGUUAUAGAUCAAUGUUGGAUCGGGUUUUUGAAUUCCAUUCCAAUUUGUAUAGAGCUAAAAGCUUGGUUAGUACCAGUUAUGAUGCCACACUUUCAUUUUGGCUUUUUUAAUUAGCUUAAUGUUGCAACAUUUUUUAGGUUAGACCCAAAUUGUAAGUAGAUUUGAUGGAAGACAAAAAAAAAUUAUGUAGCAUGUCAUCUCAAUAGAGAAUUAUAAGAAUAUUUUAUUCUUAUCAUAUCAGCUCGAAACAUAGUAUAUACAUAUCGUGUACAACAUACGCUAGCUUCAUAUGAUCUCCUAACCACACUUCCUAUCUCAUUGUUCCUCAUAAAUAUAGACUUUAAUUUAUUACAUAUACUAUACUAUAUAAAUAUCCAUUUAUAUAAACAUAUUAUUACAACAUAUUUGUGAACAAAAUUUUAUAGCAAAUGAAUAAAGCAAAGAUAGUGUUUAUCCCUUUACUUAGUAUAUGUUAUAUUGUAUCGGUAGUGAAGACUACUAAGCUUCUUGUUGAAUGUGAUAAUCGAAUUUCAACAUCUAUCUUUCUAAUCAAGCCAAUUCUUGACUCUAUGACCAUCAACUACCUUGAUUCACUUGCUGCAUCAACUUUGCCCAAAUGUAUACAACUCAUUGAUUUACCCAUUAAUGAGCCCCAAUCAUCUAAUGAUAAUUGGGUUACUUACUGUUGAAAUAAAAUAGGUGUGGUAGGUGUUUAUGGACAACAAAACAAUAAACAAAACUAAAGAACAAGAAAACUUUUUGAGAGGAAAAUAAUCUUUUUAAGUGUUUUUGUCUUGUGCCUUCCUCUCUACACACCUUGAAUUAUUCUUCUGAUUAAAAGCCUAUUUUAGGCAUGAAGUCCUAAACAACCAAUGAAUUAAACUACUUAAAGGAAAUUCUAAUCUGAAUAGUAAACAUAUUUUGCCAACAUAAUCGGUCGAUUGAUUCCUUUAAUUUAACUGGUCGACCGGUUUUCAACUAAUAUACCAGUUCCUUUAUUUUUUAGAAUAAUCAAAAUCUGGUUUAAUUUUAACACCCCUUCUUAAACUUGAUUUUUUUUUUUUAUAACUCCCAACAUGUCUUUCAUCUUGGAAAAAAUAUCAUGUUUGGCUGGCUUAAUGAUAUUGUGUGAGACUUGAUUUUGGGUUUUUAUAUACUCAACUUUAACUUUCUUGUCUGUAAUGCAAUCUUGUAAGUAAUGAAAUCUUAUGUCAAGUGAUUACUUCUUUCAAGAAACACUAGAUUCUUUGUUAAUGCAAUGACUGAUGAGUUGUCCAUAUAAAUUUUUGUAGGGUUCUCUUAUGACAUUCACAACUUCUUCAAUAAUCUUCUUAACCAUAUAGAAUGAUAAACACAUGUUGUAGUAGCUACAUAUUCAACUUCACAAGUUGAUAAUGUGACUAUAGGUGGUUUUUUUGUUCUCUAUAAAUGUUGUGUCUUCCAUGUAGAAAACAAAACCUGUAAUUUUUUUUUUUUAUCAUACAUAUCUUUAACUUAAUCAUUAUCAUUAUAAAUCACAAGUUCAAAGCUAUUAGAAUAUCAAUAAAACAAGUCAAAAUCAAUAAUAUAUUUGAUAUACCAAAGAAUUCACUUUAAAGUUUUGAAAUGUGUCAUGGUUGGUGUAUCCAUAAACUUGUUUACAAGUCUUACUCCAAAAAGAAUAUCUGGACAUGUGCAUGUAAAGUAUCUCAAACUAGGCUUUUAAAUGUUAUAGAGUUUAUUUAUCUUCUCUCUAUCAUUCUUUAACAUAUUUAAUCCACACUCAAUUAGAGUAUUCACUUUUAUACAAUCCUUUAUUUUAAACUUCUUAAUAAUCUUUUUUGCAAACUUCUUUUGAUUCAUAAAGAUUUUAUCUUCUCCUUGCUUUAUUUCAAUCCCUAAGUAAUAUGUCAUCAAACAAAUAUCUAUUAUCUCAAACUCCUAGAUCAUUGCUUGUUUGAAGUCUCUUAAUAUUUUUGGAUUAUUUCUUGUAAAUAUCAAGUAAUCUACAUACAAGCAUACAAUAAGAGUAUCACCAUUCUCUUUUAUCUUUACAUAGAUAGAAUAUUUAAGAAAUUCAUUCUUUAAGAAACAACCAUUAAUGUGACUAUACCAAACCCUUGAGGCAUGCUUUAAUCCAUAGAAGAUUUUAUUUAACUUUAAACCCUUAUCUUCAUGUUCCUUUACUUCAUAACUCAUUUGUUGCUCAAUGUAGACCUCCAUUUCAAGAAAGACAUUUAGAAAAGCUGAUUUAACAUACUUUUGCUAGAUUUUUCAUCUAUGUUUGGCAAUUAUGACAACGAUUAAUUGAAUGGUUUCCAAUCUAGCAACUAGAGCAAAUACCUCAUUAUAGUUAAUCUCAUACUUUUGACUAUAGUCCACUUCUCCUUUGACAUUUUCUUUUUCUUUAUAGAUUCACUUGACACCUAUUGGCUUCUUUCCUUUUGGUUUAGGAACCAAUUUUUAUGUUAUUUUUCUCAAUUGAUACAAUCUCCUCAUCCAUAACAAUUCUCAAUUUUUCAUCAUUUAUUGCUUCUUCAAAUACUAAAUGAUCACAUGUAGCAAGGUAAUAAUUUAGUGUUACAUCAUCAUUAAUAUAAUUAGUUACUUCAUACAAGUCAUCAAGGCUUUUCAUCUUUCUUGGUGGACUAGGUGGGCUGCCAAUAUUGAAGUUAAACUCUUAAAAAUAUCUAAAAGUAAAUACAUUUUUAAAAAUAUCUAAAAUAAAAACUAUGGUAGUCGUAAUCACUCUUAAAAGUAAAAUCCUUGGAAUUGUAUUCCAAACAACAUUUCUUGAAAAUUUUAAUUUUUUUCUUUUUAAAAUUAAUUUUUUAAAAUUUUGAAUUAUUUUAAUGUACUAAUAUAAAAAAUUAAAAAAAUAUAUUAAUUUAAUAUAUUUUUAAAUAAAAAAAUACUUUAAACAACCCUUGUGUAUCCGAGAAUAACCACUCAGCAAGAUACUCUCUUGCCGUCCAGAGAAAAAACAAAUUUGACAAUUGUCCAAAUGAUGUUGGCAGUAUAUAGUAAGUCGUGGGCAUGACAGCAAAGCCAUGACCUCACUUUAAGGCUACGUUUGGUAAUUAACGGGAGUGCACCUUAGCAUGACGAACUAAUAAAAUGCCAUGCAAAGCUCAAACACAGACGUCUCUCACAGCCACAAAAAAAGUAGAAUUGUUUGCAAACUCAUUGAAGCCUCCUGCAAAAUGAAGAACGCUGAGCUAGUCUUCAUUCCAGCACCAAUUAUAGGUCACUUUGUAUCCGCAGUAGAGGUAGCCAAGCUCCUUUUAGAACGUGACGAGAGGCUUUCAAUCACCUUCCUCGUCAUGAAAUCAAGUUUAAGCACCAAGAGUGCUCGUAGCUACAAUGAUUCAGUGAUUGCAGCCUGCGGUCGUAUCCGGUUCAUUCACUUGCCUGAAGUUGAGCUUGAUCCAAACCUACCCAGCAGGUUUUUCAUUUCUUUGAAUGAAGCCCAAAAAGCUCAUGUCAAAGAAGAAGUCUCUAAGCUUGUGUUCGCGUCCAAGUCAAGCCCUGACUCGCCUCGACUUGCUGGGUUUGUUCUUGAUAUGUUUUCUACAUCAAUCAUAGAUGUGGCCAAUGAAUUUGGUGUUCCCUCUUAUAUUUUCUUUACAUCCACAGCAGCUUUUCUUGGUACUACGCUCUAUAUUCAGGCUCUCCAUGAUGAGCAGAAAGUUAACCCUACUGAGUUCAAGAACUCGGAUGUUGAAUUGGUCAUGCCGUGUUUGGCGAGUCCCUUUCCAGCAAAAUUUUUACCAUAUUUGGUACUUGGCAAAGAUUUGCUGCCUCUUUUUCUUCGCCUGUUUAGAAGGUUCAGAGAAGCCAAGGGAAUUAUGGUAAAUACAUUUUACGAGCUGGAAUCUCAUGCGAUCAACUCUUUCUCUGAUGGUAAUUAUCCUCCUGUUUAUCCAGUUGGUCCCCUUUUGAACCUCAAUGGCCAUGAACAUGAUGUGGUGUCAGAUAGAAAAGAUACUCACAGGGAUAUCAUGCAAUGGCUUGACCAACAGCCUUCAUCCUCUGUAGUCUACCUGUGUUUUGGGAGUAUGGGAAGUUUCGGUGUGGAGCAAGUGAAAGAGAUCGCAUGUGGAUUGGAGCAAAGUGGACACCGAUUCUUAUGGUCUCUACGUCAACCUCCACCAAAUGGCAAGAUGGAAGCUCCGAGUGAUUAUGUGAAUCCUGCAGAAGUCUUGCCUGAAGGGUUCUUGAUCGAACAUCCGAGAUCGGAAAAAUAAUAGGAUGGGCCCCACAGGUGGACAUCUUGGGUCACCCAUCCAUAGGAGGAUUUGUAUCGCAUUGUGGGUGGAAUUCUACGCUGGAAAGCAUAUGGUUUGAUGUUCCAAUGGCUACAUGGCCAAUGUAUGCUGAGCAGCAAUUUAAUGCUUUCCUAAUGAUCGUUGAGUUCGGCUUAGCAAUAGAAAUUCAAGUGAACUAUAGAAUGGAUGAUUGUGAAGUUGUUAGGGCUGAGGAAAUAGAGAAAGGAAUAAGGGGUUUAAUGGAGUUUGACAUCAAGAAAAGGGAGAAGUUGAAGGAAAUAAGCGAGAAGAGUAGGAAGGCUUUGAUGAAAGAUGGAUCCUCGUCCACUUGGUUAGAUCGUGUGAUUCAAGAUAUGAUAGACAACAUGGCAUGAGUAAAAUGUACUUGCUUUUCACAUUAUCUAAUAAACAACAUUUGUUGAUCUAGUUUGGUCGCCAGUUUCCUUAUUAGCAUACGCGAGUUUUUUUAUAUAUAAAAUAUUAGAGAUUUAUUAACCAACUAUUAUAGCCAUUAAAAAUAUAGCUUAACAGAGAACAUAGUAGUAAAAAAAUUUAAAGGAGUGAGAAAAAUUACUUAUAAAACUAAACCUAUAAUCAUAAUCAAGCAUAAUAUCAUUAAAUCAAAAUGAUCAUUUUUAAGAACUCAUUGCUUGGCCAAAUGAUCUGUUUCAUGAUUAUUCUUUCUAUGAACAUGUUCCAACACACAGAAGAAAGCUUAUAACAUGCUUUGAUAAUAUCAUUAAACUCAGUUUGCAAGUGUCAAGGCAACAUAACAUUUUCUUUUUCCUUUAAUCCAAGUAAUGAUAUUGUAAGAAUCGUACUCCAUAACCCAUUCAUAUGUAGAAGCAUAGCAUUAGUCAGUAUUUAAAAGCAUAGCUUUUGAAUUGCCAAGACAUCUACUUUAUUAGAUUUGUUGUUAUCCAUUUUAGAACCCCACAUAAAUAUACAACAUAUAGAGGGAAAAAAAUAGAAUUUUUUGGAAAAAAAUAAAGAACUAUAUAUCGAUAAGAAGAAUAUAUUGAAACACUCAAGAAAUUGCCAAAGACUAGUUAAUUAAAGGAUCAAAAUACCAAAAGUUGAAAAUGUAACGACAUAUUUUAGACUGAUGAAGGCUUUGUUAGCUAGGGAAAAUCAAUUCAAGGAGUCAAUUAGAAUUUAAUGUUUAAGGACUCAAUUAGAAUUUUUCAAAGUUUAAUUGAAUUUAUUAAGGUAUUAAUUAGAAGAAUGGUUGAUUUUUUAAGUCAAUUUAGGCUUUAAUUGAAAGAAAUUGAAGUCUGAUUGUCGAAUUGCAAUUUUAGAGAGUCAAUUUGGUUAAAUCAGAAACAUAAUUGUAUAAAUAUUAAAGUUUGAUGAGUAAUUAGGGACUUGAUUGAAGAAAUCCAAAAGCAAGGACCAAAAUGAAAAAGACGCGUGAAUAUAAGGUUUAAAAUUGAUCAAAUUAGGGGCCAAAUUGAAAACAAUUGAAAGGUUGAUAGUCACUUAAGGUUCAAAAUGCACAAAUCAAAAACCAAUGACCAGGAUGAAAAAGACAUUGAACUUUGGGGUGAUAAUUGAGUUUGACAAGGGUGAAGUUGCGUGAAAUUAAAAGUUUGAGAGGCAAUUAUAGGUACAAUUAAAAGCAAUUGAACUAAUAAGGACUAAAAUGAAGUUUUUCAAAUCUGAAAUUAAAAUAAGUAAGCCAACCUCCUAGAUCACACAACCCUAAAAACAAGAUGUUAUUACAUGAGUGAACAUUUUAAUUUAAGACAAUUAACCCUUUUUCACAUAUACAAAGAUUAAUAAAUUUGAUGAAUCAAUAUAGAUUUGAAAAACUAACAAUUUAACUCUAAUUAAAAAUCUUAAUAUUUCCAUAUAUAUGGUAAGGAUCAUAACUGAAGCUUAAUUAAUCUCAUAAAUCAAUUUGAAAUUAAAUCUUAAAUAGUAUAAGGAGGUUUUUUUUAUGAAGUUUAAAAUUAAACAUUAACUAUAAGUAUGUGGAACUUUACCCUAUAUUCAUAACAAAGAGGUCCCCUAAUUAAAAUCUCUUGUGCUAAUGAGCAAUGGAAACUUGUUAUAAGUGUAUAUUUAUCUACAUGCAUGAUAACAUCAUGUUUUAAAUUGUGUUUGACUUGAAAAAACAUUAUUUUUAUAUUUUUUUUCAAGCCACACAUAGUUUGAACUAUAUAGAUAAGCAUAGCUUUAAAUAAAUUCAUUAAAUAGUAUGGACAUACCUUUCCACAUGCUACCUAGGGCUAGGACUUUCAUAGAUCAUGGGCACAUUAAUAUUUUCUAAUUAAUAUAUCAUUAUGCAAAAGAACAGAGCUAUUUUCUCGACCAUUAUUCCUUACUUGUAGAAUGGCUAGAUGAUCAUCUAUUAGGCAUAUAAAUUGUGAUGGUUGUUGAAAUACAAUUACUUUCUAACAAUUCUUUUUCAUAUUGCAAUAGUUUAUGUCUUUGAAUUCGGGGAUGAAAAACAUAAGAGAGGCAUUCAGCUAGCCGAGGACUCUACCUGGUGCCAGUAUCUGGCCUAUAGAUGUUAGGGCUAAUCGAUUUUAUUUAUUUUUACUAGCCUUCUUGCCCAUUAAUUUUAAAUCAUUUGGUAACUAUAAAAUUGUUACAACGAUGAACGCUUGAUUUCCUUUCAGUUUUGAAUCUAAAUGGGUACUAAGAUUUGAUUUGGUCUUUAUUUUUCGAAACUAGUUUUUAAGGUUAGCCUUCCAUUAUGAGUGGUCUGAAACAAGCGUCUUCCAAUUUCCUUGCCAUAAUUUUGAAGGCUCUAGAAAUGGAUAAUUGCAUUAUGAAAAAAAGAUGUAAGAACUCUUAUUUUAGAAAGAAAUUAGAAUAGUCAUUGUUAGAUUAAUUAAGUUGUUUGAUUUAACAUUAGGUUUAAUUAUGCCAACUCACCUUUAAUUUUUGUUUCUUAUUUGAUAAUAAAAAUUAUUUUCAAAUCAAUUUACAUGUCAAUUAAAAUUAAGUUUUUUUCUCGUAUGAUAUUAAAAAUACACCAUGUAGUCUAAUAAAUUCAAGAUAAUAAAUUAUUUUAAAAUUUGAAUCCAAAAAAUUAAAAAAGUAAGCCAACCUCCUUGAUAACAUAACCUUGGAAAACAAGAUGUUAUUACAUGAGUGAAUAUUUUAAUUGAAGACAAUUAACCCUUUUUCACAUAAACAAAGAUUAAUAAAUUUGAAUGAUCAAUAUAGAUUUGAAAAACUAACAAUUUAACUCUAAUUAAAAAUCUCAAUGUUUCCAUAUAUGUGAUAAGGAUCAUAACUGAAGCUUAAUUAAUUUCAUAAGUCAGUUUAAAAUUAAAUCUUAAAUAGUAUGUGGAGUUUUUUUUUUAUAAAGUUUAAGAUUAACUAUUAACUAUAAGUAUGUGGAGUUUUUUUUUAUGAAAUUUAAGAUUAAACAUUAACUAUAAGUAUGUGAAACUUUACUCCCUAUUCAUAACAAAAAGUUCCCUAAUUAAAAUCCCUAAUUAAAAUCUCAUGUGCUAUUGAGCAAUGGAAACCCAACAGUAUCAAGGUGGAACUUCAAAACCUGAAAUGGAGGUAAUUCAUUUUCACGCUCUAUUUUUCCAUGUAUGCAUGGACAUGUUUAUAUUCCAUAAAGCUAAGAAAAAAAAGUUUUACCAUCAUUUUUUUUUUUUGGAUAAUCUUACUAUCAUUUCUUGUUUGUCCCAAAAUACUUGUUUGAAUUUACUUAUAAUUAUCAAAUCUAGUCCUGCUUGAUUCAAUAUCUAAAUCAUCAUAAAAAAAAUCCUCAUAAACUGAGCCAAGUUUUUUUAUAAAAAAAUAUUAUUUCAGAAUUGACCCAUGACUUGAUCAAAAUUGUAAUUUAUUAUUAAAAUAGUUUUAAAAAAAUUAAAAUAAUAUCAUUUUGAUUGACUUUGAUCAAUCUAGAUUAACAUAAUCAAUUUGUGAACCAAGUCAUGUACUAGACCGAGUUUAAAAACUAAAUCAUUUGAGUUUUUUAUUUUUUUAAAAAAAAUAGAUUUAAUUUAUUUUUUUCAAUUCUAUGAAGAUAAUUUUGAAGAAUUUAGAUAAAAUAUAGAUGGUGAGACGAAACAUGUAUUAACUUCUUGCUUGUUUUUCUAUAAACAUCACCAUAAUUAUAUUCAAUCUCUGGAUUGAAAUCAAAUGAGAAUCCAACUGAUAGUCCUAUUUAUUGUUCUGAAUGAAGAGAUCAGAGUUGGUGUUUAUACCUUCACCGGGUAUCGGCCAUGUUACAUCAACGGUGGAGUUGGCACGGCUACUUGUCAACCGAGACGAACGAUUCGUAGUGACAAUCAUCUUGAUGAAGCUACCCUUUGACGAGAAAUUCACAAGCUACUGCAAAUCACUCACUGAGUCAACUAUUUCUAACAAUAUCAAGUUCCUUGACCUCCCUCUUCUUGAACAAGCUUUAGAUAUGAAGGCAAAAGACAUUUUAGCUUUCUACAUGGAAACGUACAAGCCUUUAGUCAAAGAAGCUCUGGCUCAGCUCAUUGAGUCAUCCACCUCAAGCCCUGAUAAGCCGCCUCGACUCAUCGGUCUCCUGGUUGAUAUGUUCUGUGUAACAAUGGUAGAUGUGGGCAAUGAUUUUGGACUGCGCAGCUAUGUGUUCUUCACUUCAGGUGUAGGUUAUUUGAGUCUCUUGUUUUCUAUGCAAACCAUGAAAGAUGAGCAAAAUGUGGACUCAACCCAGUUCAAAGACUCGGAUACUGAGUUGGUGAUAUCAAGUUUUGCUAAACCAAUUCCUGCUAGGGUUUUGCCUUCUAUGUUUCUUAACAAAGAUGUUGUUCCUGGCUUCUUAAAUUUUGCAAGAAAAUAUAAGCAAACGAAAGGUAUUGUGGUCAACACUUUCUUGGAGCUGGAAUCCCAUGUAAUGAGCUCAUUUUUUGAUGGCUUGACCCUUCCGGUAUACCCAUGAGUGGGCCUAUUUUGAAGCUCCAACGUGAUGAAGGUGACAAAGGGUUAGAUAGGGCUCGUGAGAAAGAGGAGAUCAAGAAGUGGCUUGAUGAUCAACCUCCAUCAUCAGUGGUGUUCUUGUGUUUUGGAAGCAUGGGAAGCUUUGACGAGGAUCAAUUGCAAGAGAUUUCAAAGGCAUUAGAACAUAGUGGCCAUCGAUUUUUAUGGUCCCUACGUCGAGCUCCACCAAAGGGUACGAUUGUAUUCCCUAGUGGUUAUGAUAAUCCAAAGGAAAUAUUGACGGAUGGAUUCUUGGAUCGAACGUCUAUGGUUGGAAAAAUCAUUGGAUGGGCUCCACAAACAGACAUCUUGGCUCAUCCAGCAGUUGGAGGAUUUGUAUCGCAUUGUGGAUGGAAUUCUAUACUAGAAAGCCUAUGGUUUGGUGUGCCAAUUGCUGCCUGGCCAAUAGAUGGGGAGCAACAGUUAAAUGCCUUUCAAAUGGUGGUUGAGUUAGGUUUAGGAGUGGAAAUUAAAUUAGAUUAUAGGAAGGAUUUUUUGAGUGAUGAUGAAGUUAAAAUGGUGACUGCUGAGGAGAUAGAAAGAGGUAUAAACAGUUUGAUGCAGAGUAAUAGUGAAAUAAAGAGAAAUGUGAGAGAGAUGAGUGAAAAGAGCAAGAAAGCCUUGAUGGAAAGUGGAUCUUCACACACUUCAUUUGGUCAUUUUAUUGACAAUUUGAUGAGCUAGUUCUUCCGCUGCAACAUUAUAUUAGGUGCUCUUAGCAGAGGUUUUUUUCUUUGUUCUUUUCCCUUUAUUUUGGAUAAUAGUCCUCUGUGUAAUUUGAAGUUGUGUUUGGUUAAUAUCUCAAAAUAAAUAUAAAAAAUAUAGAAACAUGUUUAGUUGAAAAAUAUAAAAAUAAAUUUAUUUCUAUUAUAGUUUUCAAAUAAAUUAUAUCAUAUAAAAAGAGAAGGAUAGAUGAACAUAUUGUCUCUUUCUCUUGUCUCUUUUUAUCCUAGAACAAUAACUAUUCGCUGCCUAGAUAAAUCAAUUUCAAAAAUAAUACCAAUGGAUGAUGAUAUUUCCCUAUUAAUUACUCUCUAAUAAAUCUGUACCAUAUAAUUGGUGUUUUGCAAUUCUCUUUUUCUGAAAUUUUAUUCUUUUUUUUUUCUAUUGCUUCUUGAAAAAAGGAGAGAAGCAAUGCCAGACAUCUGGAUCAGUUAUCUCAAUACAUAUCGUGUGAAUAAUCUCCCCGAUCAGCUUGCAUAAUAGUGAUCUAUACUCGGCGAAAAAUUAAAUCAGAACCUCUGAUAUAUUGGUCUGAUGUAAUAUUCUAACCUGUUUUUUGUAUAGAUUGAGGUUAAUAACGAUCAACUUUAAGGACUUCUGAUAUGCUCCUAGAAAAUGUCAAACAAUGAUGCAGCACUACUACUGUUAGACUAGAGGAGAAGGUAUGAGGACAGGGAUACUGUAUUCAUUCACACGUUUCUCGAAAUCUUUUGAUCUGUUUGUCUACCGGCAGCAUCCUGUGAUCUGCUGUGUCUGUAUUUGAUCAAGAAGUGACAACAAAAUUGCUGAUGUUGUUAUUGCAGCCCAGGGAAGCGUCAGAUUUUGACCUGGCCAGGUAAAUCUAACAAAGCAGUCCAAUAUGUCUGCUAAGCAUAGAUUUGGAUGUUUGUUCUGUUUCUUCCAAAUGGACGAACACAUACGAUGCCUAAAUUUUAUACCACUGAACAAUUACCGAUGAGAGCAAGAUCCUAGUCUUGAUAGCAACGCAUACAGGUGGUUCGUUUGUUGAGUGGCAAGUAAAAACCAUUGUUCUAAAACAUGAUCUGACCUUGCUGAUCAAUUCAGUUAUCUGCCGAAUAGAAUUCUAGCCCAGGUCAUGUUUUAUAUCGAUCCAUGUUUGAGAGUUCCCCGUGUAAAACCUCAUCAAUUUUAUCAAAAUCAUUAUUAGGCAGACUAGUCUUGAUAAUAACACAUACAGGUGGCUCAUACAAGAGUCUUUAUUUUUCCAUUUUUUUGAGCUUUGGAUUGAUUAGACUAAUUUUGGAGAGAUUUAAGUCAGUGAUUAUUUUAGAUAAAAUAAACAUUCUAUUAUACUAAAGGGUGGUCUUCUCCCAUUUAUAUCAUUAUAUCACGCAUGCAGUUGAGGCCACCGAAGAGCAAAAAAUGUAGACUUAAUUCUCAAGAACAUAAAGGGCCACAGCGAAAUAAAAAAAAAAAAAAGAAAAGAGUGUAUUGUCAUCACACAGACUCCGUACAACUCUUUUGAUUAUCAAAAUUGGCCAAUUUUUUAAUCCAAGACAAUGAAACGAAUGAAAGAGAUGACAUUUACAACACCAAGAAAGUGGUAGGCAAAGGGACUUUCUCUAUCUUCAUCAAGCCAAAGCUAAGUCAAUCAUAUCAGUACAAGAUUUAGGAGAAAAAGACGAGAAAAAGGACUUUAGAUAGCAAAAGCCUCAAGCCCAUUAGGGAAGGAGAGACAUACGACAAACUCCUAGAAGAAGAGAAACAUUAACCCCAAAUUGAAGUGCUCCAUUACUUUGCACUUUUGGAUGCAUAAAAUCAGCUGCCAGAAGAUCCACAAGUGCCAUGUAGAUUAGGAUACCAACUGACGCAGCAUUAAGAAUUCCUUCAACAAUAAGAGCAUUAGGACUGCUCUCUCUUUGGGGUUGUUAGAGACAAUAGCUUUGGUCUUGAAUUUUGCCUAGAAACAUCAAAACAAGUGUAUCAACAAACACAUAUAAUUAGAGAAAAUUUUCAAUUUUAGACUACAUAAAAAAAUAGGUAGCAUAUAUUGUUAGAAACAAAGCUAUGCCUUUACCUGAGCAAUGCAUCCACCAAUUCCCAUACCCUCAAACAAUUGAUGAAAGCUUAGAGCAGCCACUAGAGGUCUUAUUGUCUUGGGACUUGCAGAAGCUCCUAACGAAAUUCCUGUAAUCACAGAGUGCACCACAAUUCUCAACUCCAAAACCUACAGAACUUUAGUAAAUCUAUAAAUAAAGAAAACAAAAGAAUAACAGUUCCAAGUGCAUUCAUGUCAUCUCCUCUAAAAGUUUUUAGGUUUGAGCCUCUCCUUUGUAACAAAACAGAAACAAUUAUCGGUGUAAUAACCGGAUGGAGAAUAAGCUGAGAUGGACUAGAACCAGAACUAUCCCCUGAACCAUGAGAAUGGCCAUGGGUUGCAUGAGCAUGAACAUGAAUAUGAGCCUCUACCUCUGCCCUCUCCUCAUCCCCACUCUCCUCUAGAUGAGCCUUGUUGGGGUGCAACCUAGAUAAAUAAGAAGUUGCAAGACAAUCCACCAUUAAAGUCCCAAUGUCCGACACCAUCACCACAAACCCCGUGAAGGGAAAAUGACCCCAAGGACUUUUAGCAAUUGCUUCUAUCCUUGCUGCCGGUGCAAUUGGAGUUCAUCACAAAAGCUUUGAUGAUGAAGAAAAGAUAGUUUUUACAAGAACUGGAAGACAAACUCCAAUUGCUCGGCAGCAAGGAUAGAAGCAAUUGUUGUGGCUUUGUUUUUCAACACCUCCGAUUUAUUGGUUUCUUCUUCUCCCCCAUCACAUGUGCAUAGGGAGGCAAAGGAAUGUUAAAUAAAAGUGGUUAAAAUUCAGCAUGAUAAUUGGAUGAAGAGAAAAAAAUGUUAGCAGACUCAAGGAAAAGGGAAUGAAGAUGAAGGCUGGUUAUGUAUAUAGCGGGUUUAUGAGCUUUGAUUUAUGAAGCUAGAUUUAAUUAUGUCACUACAAAAGUAAUUUGCUCUAUUUUAUUUUUUUUUCUUCUUUUUAAAUAAUUUAUGAUGAGAACAGGCGUGUUUCUUUUCCUUGCACUUUAUGUGUUUCACCAGCUCCCUAUUUGGUGAAACACGUGGGAAGCUCGUUCUUUUAACAAUAUUUUCACACAGAAUCUGCGUCAAGAACUCUUCUUUAUAUAACAACACAGCCUGCCUAUAUCUUCAAUCCCUUUUCCUUCACUUUGCUGAUAAUCAUAUUUAACCUUCAAAUUGGAUCGAGAAAAGAUUUGUUAGCAAAGGAAAGGAAAAGGGAGUGAAGGAGAUGUAGGAAGGCAAUAUUGAUUUAAUGCACAAAGUAGAUCGUGGUGUCAACAAGUGAAAGAAGUGAAAAGAGGAGGAAGGCUUUAAUGAAAGGUGGAUCCUAGUACACAGAGAUCGCAUGAUUCAAGAUAUGCUAGACAGCAUGCCAUGAAUAAAAUGUACUUGCUUUUCACAUCAUCUAAAAGGCAACAUGCCAUUCUCAAUUUGUUGAUCUUAUGUAGAGCGAACAGGCCUCUUUAAAGUAUUAAAUAUCAAAUUACU
rnacentral:lncRNA from 1 species